UACGGAGGGGGCUAGCGUUGUUCGGAAUUACUGGGCGUAAAGCGCACGUAGGCGGACCAUCAAGUCAGAGGUGAAAUCCCGGAGCUCAACUCCGGAACUGCCUUUGAAACUGCUGGUCUGGAGAUCGAGAGAGGUGAGUGGAAUUCCGAGUGUAGAGGUAAAAUUCGUAGAUAUUCGGAGGAACACCAGUGGCGAAGGCGGCUCACUGGCUCGAUACUGACGCUGAGGUGCGAAAGCGUGGGGAGCAAACAGG
rnacentral:rRNA from 1 species